rnacentral:rRNA from 1 species
UGGGGAAUAUUGCACAAUGGGGGAAACCCUGAUGCAGCAACGCCGCGUGAGUGAUGAAGGUCUUCGGAUUGUAAAGCUCUGUCUUUAGGGACGAUAAUGACGGUACCUAAGGAGGAAGCCACGGCUAACUACGUGCCAGCAGCCGCGGUAAUACGUAGGUGGCAAGCGUUAUCCGGAUUUACUGGGCGUAAAGGGAGCGUAGGCGGAUACUUAAGUGGGAUGUGAAAUACCCGAGCUUAACUUUGGAGCUGCAUUCCAAACUGAGUAUCUAGAGUGCAGGAGAGGAUAGUGGAAUUCCUAGUGUAGCGGUGAAAUGCGUAGAGAUUAGGAAGAACACCAGUGGCGAAGGCGACUCUCUGGACUGUAACUGACGCUGAGGCUCGAAAGCGUGGGGAGCAAACA